GUGUUAAGCUAAAAGUAAAACUUUAGUUAUCUUUAAGUUGGCUAAGAAGACGGUUGGAACAAGCGGCGGAAAAUAUUUUUGUGAGCGGUUGACAUUGUUGUUUUUGUUGAUAUUUAUUGUUAGUAAAACGGUUAAAGUUUUUUAUAUUGGCUUUCAUCUACAACUUUUACUAUACACUUGUUUUCGUCGGCUUAAUAGAUUCAUAGUUCGUUCAUUCGUAGCUUCGUCGGUCGUGCGUGUGUAUGUGUUUUUAAUUUGUUGCUUUAAAAAGAAAUUUUUUGUUAAAACUUAUGGCUUGAAAUCUCAAGCUUGGAAUGUUUAGUCGCUCUGAAGUAGUAUAACGGAAAACACAUAUAAUCCGAAGACGAAUGUGAAGUAGACAACACAAAUUUUGAUAAAAUGAUUUAAACAGUUUGAUGUUAAAUAAAUAAUGUUUGAAUUACCCAUUUAUGAAAAUAAAUUUUGUAGUAAUAACGCAGUAAAGUUUAAACUAACUUGUACUUAGUGUAAAAAAGAAAACAUACAAAAUAAAAAAGAAAGUUGGUAUUAUUAAACAAAUGUUGGAGCAUUUUUUUUAUUUUUAUUGCAACCUGCUGCGUGUAACGGUGACAUACAUUUCAUAAGAAACGAGAAAACUGUUCACAUCUUAAAAAAUCACCUGUUAAUAAAGUUCAACGUAUUAAACAGAAAUCCGAAAAUAAGAAAAACUAAAAAUUAAUUUAGAAGAAGUUUUCAAGAAUAAUUUAAUAUUUCUUUCUCACUUUAUAGUGAACUUAUCAAAAAUAAAAAAGUUUUGAUACAUGUGUUGUGAAAAUAUUUAAUUUAAAUACGAGUACAAAGUCCUUUCCAACACCAUGCCGAAGAUUACAACACCAUCGUUGUUGCUCAUCAUCAGUCUAUUAGGAUAUUAUGCACGCAUUGAUGCGCAAAAUAUAGAAUCAUCUCAUUGUAGUUUUCCUGGGUCACCAGCACAUAGUACAGUUGUGUUUUCGAAUGUAAAUUUAACAGAUGGUACCAUUGCAUCAUAUUCAUGUGAAAGAGGUUUUGAAUUGUUAGGACCUGCAAGACGAGUCUGUGAUAAGGGCACAUGGGUUCCUGAAGGAAUACCGUUUUGUGUACUAAAUGUUGCUGCUGGCAAAGCACCAAUGCAGAUUUCUACGGAUGGUACCGGUGCACCACAAAAAUCUAUAGAUGGUUCAACAUCUGCGUUCUAUACCCCAGAGACCUGUUCACUCACAAAACCGGAGCGAUCACCAUGGUGGUAUGUCAACCUGUUGGAACCGUACAUGGUACAAUUAGUGCGUUUGGAUUUCGGAAAAUCGUGUUGUGGUAAUAAACCUGCUACCAUUGUUGUGCGCGUUGGUAACAACCGACCUGAUUUAGGAACCAAUCCCAUUUGCAACCGAUUUACGGGUCUUUUAGAAGAAGGACAGCCAUUGUUCUUACCUUGUAAUCCCCCGAUGCCUGGUGCUUUCGUUUCAGUACAUUUAGAAAAUAAUACUCCCAAUCAACUUUCUAUCUGUGAAGCAUUCGUUUAUACUGAUCAAGCAUUACCUAUUGAGCGUUGUCCUACAUUCCGAGAUCAGCCUCCAGGUGCUUUAGCUUCAUAUAAUGGAAAAUGCUACAUUUUUUACAAUAGACAACCUUUGAAUUUUUUGGACUCUUUGUCUUUUUGUCGAUCACGCGGUGGUACAUUAAUCAGCGAAAGCAAUCCAGCCCUUCAAGGCUUCAUCAGUUGGGAGUUAUGGCGUCGACAUCGCAGUGAUAUAAGUUCUCAAUAUUGGAUGGGUGCUGUUCGAGAUUCCGAAGAUCGAAAUACCUGGAAAUGGGUUAACGGUGAGGAAGUAACUGUUUCAUUUUGGAAUCAUCCAGGAGGUGACGAAGAUUGCGCUAGAUUUGACGGUUCUAAGGGAUGGCUAUGGAGUGAUACAAAUUGCAAUACAAUGUUAAAUUUCAUUUGUCAACACCAACCUAAAACUUGUGGUAGACCCGAACAACCUCCUAAUUCUACGAUGGUUGCACAGAAUGGCUUUGAAGUUGGAGCUCAUAUUAAAUAUACUUGCGAUGUUAAUCAUUUAUUAGUUGGUCCAUCAACAAGAACAUGUUUAGAAACUGGCUUCUACAAUGAGUUUCCUCCCGUCUGCAAAUAUAUCGAAUGUGGUCUGCCCGCUUCUAUACCUCACGGCACAUAUGACCUCUUGAAUGGUACAGUGGGAUAUUUGAGUUUGGUGAAGUAUUCAUGCCAGGAAGGUUAUGAAAUGGUAGGCAGAGCUUUAUUGACGUGUGAUUUUGAUGAACGUUGGAAUGGCCCGCCACCACGUUGUGAGAUUGUGGAAUGUGAUACAUUGCCUGGCAACUACUAUAGUACGAUUAUUUCUGCUCCAAACGGUACCUUCUUUGGAUCUAAAGCAGAAAUCUCGUGUCCUACAGGUUAUCGUUUGGAAGGCCCACGUGUAAUAACUUGUCUGUCGUCGGGACAAUGGAGCAGUGCUCUACCACGUUGCAUUAAAUUGGAACCAAUAACACUUCCCUCACCAUCCCCAACACCUACUUUACCAACUACAACAACAUAUAGACCCAAACUUACUACAACAACAAAGAAAAUAUACAAACCAACCACUACUUCUACUAGCAGCACAGCUCUUGGCACCAGUCAGAGUCCAAAUAUUGAACUUAAUAGUGAAACUGAUUCCGAUGAAGAGGUUACAUAUGUGGUACCCGGUACUGUGCGCGAAGAAUUCCCUCCUAGACGUACCCUGAGACCAGUAAUUGUACCUAAGAAACCCAAUACCACUCCAGCAUUCCAAAUUCCUAGUUCCACUGCAUCUUAUUCUACAAGCACUUCGAAACCAUCAUCUGGUUAUGGUCCAACUCAUAACCGUGUCCCUUAUAUUCCUUCGUCUACUUUGGAAACAUCAACACAUAACAUUCAAAAUGUCAUUCAAAAUGCACAUCCUCAAGACAAUGAAAUUUCGGAUAGUGUUAAUAUACGUCAUAACCAAUCCCCUAAUGUCAAUGUACCUAUAUCCGUGGAUAAUCCAGAUCGCAAAGAAACGAAGGAAGCAAAAUUGAAUUUGGGAGCAAUUGUUGCUUUGGGUGCUUUCGGAGGCUUUGUAUUCCUUGCUGCAGUAAUUACGACAAUUGUUAUUUUAGUACGCAGCACCUCAAACAGCAAACGGUGGCACAAUGCAAAACAUUUUCCUUAUCCUUCGUCUCUACCACCAUAUUACAUGCCUAAAUCUCGUUUGCGUUACAUGCCCCCACCACCAACGAUGACCACGCAAUUCAACGCUUCGACUUUUGAGGCUAAAAAAUCAUAUUUAGGAAACACGGAAUUUAUAAGACCACAAAGCCACUAUGAUCAUUAUAGCACAUGUUCAAGUAUUAAAAAAGAAUCUCCUAAUUCACUGUGGAACAGUGUUUUGGCUUUACCCUUUGAUGAUCAAAAACUGGGCCGACGUGAAUUGAGUACUUGUGGACGUAGUUAUGCUGCCAGAGCUGGAAUAUUCAGUAACGAACAACAUCAACAAAAAGAAAAUAUCAAUAAUAAACAAUAAAGAAAUGUUCCCAUCUAACAACAUUUAAUUAAACACAAUGAAGAAUAAAUAGAACAAUAAGAUACCUUAAUAUACAUAUAUAUAGUACAUACUCAAACAAUUUAGGAUAAUAGGAGACAUCGUGCCAAAGAUUAAUAAAUUAAAACAACUUUACAUACAUACAUAUAUACAUAUGUAUAAAAUUGUUAAAACGAAAAAUGCGAAAAAUUUACAAAAAUCCGGCCAUAUUUGUGCAUAUACAUAAAUAGAAUAAAUAAUUUUAAGUCAAACAAAAAUCGUACUACUCAACAUUAUCGACAUAGAGCAUCCCCCGACUGCAAUACAGUUGCCUCAUUCGAUAGUUCUACUUCGGGCUCUAGAAAUGGUUUAAAUAGGUACUAUAGGCAAGCUUGGGAAAAUUUACAUGAAUCAGCCUCUAAAAACAGUUCACACAAUGCACUCCGACGUAAAGAAACUCUUGAUCCUCCCAGUAUGACGCGGUCAAGAGAUAACUUAAGGGAAAAUAUUCAAAGGUCCAGAGAGAAUUUAGAACGUGUUGGUCGAGACAAUUAUGGAUUGCGUGAAAAUUCUGAAAUGGUUGUUUCUGACGUAUGUCUGAAAGAAAAGAAACGUCAUCAUCACCAUCAUCACAAAAACGGUUCCUCGCGCAAUGGCGAAUACCGAGACCAUUCGGCGGGCAGGCGAGAACACCAUCGACAUAGUGGAGGACAUUAUUGACCAACUAUGAUCAUAACCAUCAAUGUAGAACAAUAAAAAUAAAACGGGCUGCAAUAUUCACAAACUAAAGUUAAAUGCAUUAGAGUAAUUCUAAUGUUAAAAAGCAAAACAACGAAACAAUUUAGUUCUAAACAUAAUUAGAGUAUCUACUAUAAAUACUUACAUAUUUAAGUAAAUUAUACAAUUUAUUUUUAAGACUUCUUCAUCCACAAAGAAAAAUAGUCAACCGUUUUUUCUAUAUUCAUACAUGUACAUUAGAGAAUAAUUGAAAACAUAUCGCUCAUUUCUAACUACAUAGUGUCAUAACUCAAAAACUCUAGUUUCGAAUCUUUCAUAAUUGAGUUCAAACAUUUUUUAAGCGUAAUGUUUCAGUUUUAAUAUUUAUAAUCAUGAUGUAAUACGUAAGGUGAGAGCGUUUCGGCAACAAACACAAUAUUUUAUUGUUGUCUAGAGUUGGGUUUUGUCAAAAUGAAAUUUCUAAUAUUGAAAAAUAAUAAACAUUGGAAAUAUGUAAAUAGUUUUUGUGUAUUUCACAAUAUUACCUAUAAAACCGUCGUUACAUUUAACAUUUAUCUGCAGCAGGACAAUGUUUUAAUGCUUCUUCAUCUGAACUUUCUUAUUUGAAAACUCUUUAUGAACAUUUUAAUUCAUAAUUUUAAAUUAAAAUUUUUUUUGCUUAGAAAACACAAAUAUAAUUUUUUUAAAAUAAAAAUAAAUUAAUUAACGAUUUCACUUUACUUAGUGCAUCCUGAUUUAUAACAAUAAAAAAAAUGCAACCAGAAUUUAAGUCAUGUCGCUUUAGUUACCAAUGAGCGAUAUGUUUAUAUAUACAUUUGUUCAAAACAUUUCUGAAAAUAUUGAUGCAUAAUUUAAAAUAAUUUUAUUUGUGCUUAAUUUUUAACGAAUAACACUUCAAAUCUGUUACAAAAUUUUAAAUUAUAAAGAAAUAUAUACAAACCUCAUUAUGAAUAACUUGGUUUAGUUUAUAAAAACCAUAUUAUUUACCUUACACUAUUAAGCUAAAUCGAUUUAUUCAUAAAGUCAAAGUCUAUUCAAACCAAAAUAAUAAUGGUUCACUAAAGGAUAAACAACUAAAUACAUUUAUAGAGUGCCAUUACCGGCAUAUUUAAUUCGAAAAACAUUAAAAAUUCUUAUGUAGACACUACCUAUAGAAAUAUAAAAAUAACAAAUAUAACCCACGAAAUUUGAAAUAUUCAUUAUUAGUGAAAUAAAAUAACUUAUUUAGUUGUUCAUUUAUUACAUUAUUUUAUUUAUCUAGUUUUAUGCAUAACACAACUUUGUUUCUUUUAUGUAAAUAAAAUCAUUUAUUCACCCAAA